CGCUGGCGGCGUGCCUAAUACAUGCAAGUCGAGCGAACAGACGAGGAGCUUGCUCCUCUGACGUUAGCGGCGGACGGGUGCGUAACACGUGGAUAACCUACCUAUAAGACUGGGAUAACUUCGGGAAACCGGAGCUAAUACCGGAUAAUAUAUUGAACCGCAUGGUUCAAUAGUGAAAGACGGUUUUGCUGUCACUUAUAGAUGGAUCCGCGCCGCAUUAGCUAGUUGGUAAGGUAACGGCUUACCAAGGCAACGAUGCGUAGCCGACCUGAGAGGGUGAUCGGCCACACUGGAACUGAGACACGGUCCAGACUCCUACGGGAGGCAGCAGUAGGGAAUCUUCCGCAAUGGGCGAAAGCCUGACGGAGCAACGCCGCGUGAGUGAUGAAGGUCUUCGGAUCGUAAAACUCUGUUAUUAGGGAAGAACAAAUGUGUAAGUAACUAUGCACGUCUUGACGGUACCUAAUCAGAAAGCCACGGCUAACUACGUG
rnacentral:rRNA from 1 species